UAUACCUAUUCUCCCUUCUCCCUUCUGGAAUUUACGGGAGUCAUCUCCCUCACAUUUUCUACACCUUUACUGACACACCGCCAUUCCUCUACACACGACGAUCUCUCUCAACUCUCUUACUAAACACACGCAUACACACAACGUUUGAAAGGAAUCAGACUUUCCUCCCCUCACAAAUUCUUCUGUGUUUCACCUAAAACAACCGUUGAUCGCCGCCGGCGAGUUUAGCUGCCAGCAGUUCAGUUUCCCCUCUUUGCUCAAAGUUUAUCCUCCUCAUCUUCUCCGACCUCCAUUGAGAGAUUACAAGGUUAAAGCUUUGUUUACCCAGACUCAUUUCUUUCAAUUUAAGGUAGAAAUUGAACUCCUCUUUGAUUAUCUCACUUCUUAAGUUAAUGUUUGUGGUUUUGAGUUCAAGAUUUUUGCUUUUGGUUGUGUAUGGGAAAGUGGGAAUUUUUAGCCCUCAAUCUGAAAUUGGGGAUUUCAUAUUAUUAUGCUUGUUGUGGCUCCUAAUUAGUUGCUGGGAGUGAAUUUGUAUAAGUGGUUGUGGUGAAAGAAACAAAGGAGAUAGCCUUUUGUGUCAUGUUCUGGCCGAAUUUGUCAACUCCAGUUUAACCAAGUAAACGAUCUCUUUUUCUUGCGAAAUUUUAACUGAACAUACUUUUAUGUGUCUUCUGCUAUGUGGCCAAAAUUCAGCUUCAUCCGAAUCGAAUUGAAUUUAUAAUGAAUUUUGAAAGGGGACUGCGCUGUUCAGCUAAGUUUGGGUAUAUUUUGCUGUUUUCAGCUGCUGGUUUUGAAGUUUUCGACACCCUUAAGGUGUUGCAAAUUGUAUUUUCAAAUUUUCUGCAUGAACCUUGAUGUGUUGGGGAGCUCUUUGUAAAAUUUCAACUGAUUUGGAUGUCAUUUACUAUUUUUAGAAAAUCUCCAAACACAGCUGCCAAAACCUGUCAGGUAGUGAUAGACAGUGGGAAAAUGGCCAUAUCUCCCAACCUACUUGGGAAUUUUGAGAGAACUUUGUUUUAAAAUUAAACUAGACACCAAGGGGCUUCUUUUGGCAUAGGGCUUGACCUCUUAUACUCCGUGCAAAAGAAGUAACUAAAGAGAACUUGUUCAUUGCUUAAGUUAUUUUUGGUGUUGUGUUGAUAAGAAUUAUUUAUUGAAAGGUAAUCCUGGCCCGAGGGAUAGCACGGGCAAGGAGAAGGCGAGUGAGUAAAGUGACCUAGUACGGCAUUUUGGAUUUUGAGAUUAUCUCUUUCGAUGUACAGCUGCUCAAGUCGGGUCACUAGCCAACCUUUUUGUGUUCAGAAAAUUCUUUCGGAUAUGCUAGAUGUGGCAUGUAUAGAAAGUGUAAUAUAGUUCGGACGUUUCAUUUACUUCGUUAUCCAGGUUGUAUAAAUAUAUAUAGACUUUUGGAAAUAGGUUUAUGGUCUAACUUCAGACGUUAUAUAGCAAUUUUUCCGUUUGCCAAGUAAAGGAAAAUGAUACAUCUUUGUAUAAAAAAAA